rnacentral:rRNA from 1 species
UACGGGGGGGGGCAAGCGUUGUUCGGAAUUACUGGGCGUAAAGGGCUCGUAGGUGGCCAACUAAGUCAGACGUGAAAUCCCUCGGCUUAACCGGGGAACUGCGUCUGAUACUGGAUGGCUUGAGUUUGGGGAGAGGGACGCGGAAUUCCAGGUGUAGCGGUGAAAUGCGUAGAUAUCUGGAGGAACACCGGUGGCGAAGGCGACUUCCUGGCCUGUUCUUGACGCUGAGGCGCGAAAGCUAGGGGGAGCAAAACGGG